GAUGAACGCUGGCGGCGUGCCUAAUACAUGCAAGUCGAGCGAACAGACGAGGAGCUUGCUCCUCUGACGUUAGCGGCGGACGGAUGAGUAACACGUGGAUAACCUACCUAUAAGACUGGGAUAACUUCGGGAAACCGGAGCUAAUACCGGAUAAUAUAUUGAACCGCAUGGUUCAAUAGUGAAAGACGGUUUUGCUGUCACUUAUAGAUGGAUCCGCGCCGCAUUAGCUAGUUGGUAAGGUAACGGCUUACCAAGGCAACGAUGCGUAGCCGACCUGAGAGGGUGAUCGGUCACACUGGAACUGAGACACGGUCCAGACUCCUACGGGAGGCAGCAGUAGGGAAUCUUCCGCAAAGGGCGAAAGCCUGACGGAGCAACGCCGCGUGAGUGAUGAAGGUCUUCGGAUCGUAAAACUCUGUUAUUAGGGAAGAACAAAUGUGUAAGUAACUAUGCACGUCUUGACGGUACCUAAUCAGAAAGCCACGGCUAACUACGUG
rnacentral:rRNA from 1 species